CAAUAGCGUAUAUUAAAGUUGUUGCAGUUAAAAAGCUCGUAGUUGAAUUUUUGCCUGCCGCCGAUGUCGGAACUUCCGUACGUUCGGCGGCGUGCAUCCUUGGGUGGAACCUGUGUGGCAUUAGGUUGUCGUGCAGGGGAUGCUCAUCGUUUACUGUGAAAAAAUUAGAGUGUUCAAAGCAGGCUUACGCCGUUGAAUAUAUUAGCAUGGAAUAAUAAGAUAGGACCUUGGUACUAUUUUGUUGGUUUGCGCACCGAGGUAAUGAUUAACAGGGACAGUUGGGGGUAUUCGUAUUCCAUUGUCAGAGGUGAAAUUCUUGGAUUUCUGGAAGACGAACUACUGCGAAAGCAUUUACCAAGGAUGUUNUCAUUAA
rnacentral:rRNA from 1 species